rnacentral:rRNA from 1 species
GAUGAACGCUAGCUACAGGCUUAACACAUGCAAGUCGAGGGGAAACGAUAGAGAAAGCUUGCUUUUUCUAGGCGCCGACCGGCGCACGGGUGAGUAACGCGUAUCCAACCUGCCCAUCACUUGGGGAUAACCUUGCGAAAGUAAGACUAAUACCCAAUGACGUCUCUAGAAGACAUCUGAAAGAGAUUAAAGAUUUAUCGGUGAUGGAUGGGGAUGCGUCUGAUUAGCUUGUUGGCGGGGUAACGGCCCACCAAUGCGACGAUCAGUAGGGGUUCUGAGAGGAAGGUCCCCCACAUUGGAACUGGGACACGGUCCAAACUCCUACGGGAUGCAGCAGUGAGGAAUAUUGGUCAAUGGACGAGAGUCUGAACCAGCCAAGUAGCGUGCAGGAUGACGGCCCUAUGGGUUGUAAACUGCUUAUAUAAGGGAAUAAAGUGAGAGUCGUGACUCUUUUUGCAUGUACCUUAUGAAUAAGGACCGGCUAAUUCCGUGCCAGCCGCCGCGGUAA